rnacentral:rRNA from 1 species
AUUGAACGCUGGCGGCAUGCUUUACACAUGCAAGUCGAACGGCAGCGCGGGCUUCGGCCUGGCGGCGAGUGGCGAACGGGUGAGUAAUACAUCGGAACGUGCCCAGUAGUGGGGGAUAGCUCGGCGAAAGCCGGAUUAAUACCGCAUACGACCUGAGGGUGAAAGCGGGGGAUCUUCGGACCUCGCGCUAUUGGUGCGGCCGAUGGCAGAUUAGCUAGUUGGUGGGGUAAAGGCCUACCAAGGCGUCGAUCUGUAGCUGGUCUGAGAGGACGACCAGCCACACUGGGACUGAGACACGGCCCAGACUCCUACGGGAGGCAGCAGUGGGGAAUUUUGGACAAUGGGCGAAAGCCUGAUCCAGCAAUGCCGCGUGUGUGAUGAAGGCCUUCGGGUUGUAAAGCACUUUUGGCGGGAACGAAAAGGACUGUGCCAAUACCACGGUUCGAUGACGGUACCCGCAGAAUAAGCACCGGCUAACUACGUG